rnacentral:ncRNA from 1 species
GUGUUUCUGCCACCGGGUAGAGAAUCUUGAGCAUUCGAGUAUGUAUCGUUAGGUCUUAGAAGAUACAUGGCGGAUGCUUUUUUAUU